rnacentral:misc_RNA from 1 species
UUGAAAAUCUUUGUGGGCUGUAGUUGAGCUGGCCUCUCGGGGCAUGUGCUUGCUAUUGGCUUUCAAAAAUUCUUCAUCCACCUGUGCACACUUUGUAGGAGGGAAAGAUCACAAGUAAAGGAACUUGUUGCUUGAAAAGGGGUCUUUUCUUUCCUAUGUUUUACACACACAACUUUGUAUGUUUAGAAUGUCUUGAUUUUUUGAAGAGCGUAGCAACUCUUUCAAAAAAACAUAAUA